rnacentral:rRNA from 1 species
CCUACGGGAGGCAGCAGUGAGGAAUAUUGGUCAAUGGACGAGAGUCUGAACCAGCCAAGUAGCGUGAAGGAUGAAUGCCCUAUGGGUUGUAAACUUCUUUUAUAAAGGAAUAAAACGAGGCACGUGUGCCUGUUUGCAGGUACUUUAUGAAUAAGGAUCGGCUAACUCCGUGCCAGCAGCCGCGGUAAUACGGAGGAUCCGAGCGUUAUCCGGAUUUAUUGGGUUUAAAGGGUGCGUAGAGGGGUUGUUAAGUCAGUUGUGAAAGGUUGCGGCUCAACCGUAAAAGUGCAAUUGAUACUGGCAGUCUUGAGUACAGGUGAGGUAGGCGGAAUGCGUGGUGUAGCGGUGAAAUGCUUAGAUAUCACGAAGAACCCCGAUUGCGAAGGCAGCGUACCAGACUGUGACUGACACUGAUGCUCGAAAGUGUGGGUAUCGAACAGGAUUAGAUACCCCUGUAGUC